AAAACUCGUACAAAAACACCGACAGACCUUCAGAGACACUAGCGAUUCUCCCUUGGAUAAUCCAAGGGAAGACCAAUUACUGGCUGAUMUACUGAGCAUAUCCUGAGCUAUCAAACAAAAAUCUUACUUCUUUUUCUUCCAGAGGCAUCACGACAAGCUGCAGACCAGCAAACGAAGCUAAGUGAGGGCAGUAUGACCAAUGUCUGCUGUGUCAGUUCCCCAGCAGUUGAAGCAUGUUAUCAGGUGUCCAAGACCUACAGCUUGCGGAGACUGGAAAGGAAGACAAAUAAGGUCGGAUCGAUGUCCUCAGAGGGCGGAGAAGGGUGGAGAAAAAGGACAAGAUUCAGACCGGACAUACGUACCAGGCUACACAUUCUCCACCCCUUUUGGACAUGCAAAACUACGAAGGACCAUGGAUUUUCACAACAGAGACAGCUGAUAUCUGAACAUUAG
rnacentral:lncRNA from 1 species